CUUCAUGGAUACAGCAUGAUACAAGACAGAAAGAGCUAAGCCAAGAAGACCACCUUCUGAUGACUCAGGAAAGCAAGCAUCAAUCCUUGGCAAAGUCAUCUGGAUCUCAGUUUCCUGGUCUGCAGCGCUUCCCUGGUGGUCCAGUGAUUAAGAAUCCACCUUGCAACACAGUGGACACCAGUUCAAGUCCAUGGUCCAGAAAGAUCCCACCCAUCUUGGGGCAACUAAGCCCAUGUGCCACAACUGCUGAGCCCGUGCUCCAGGGUCCCGAGCUCCAGAAUCCCACUCUCCACAAUAAGAGAACCUGCGGCGAUGGGAAGCCCACGCACCGCAACUGGAGGGUAGCCCCCACUGGCCACAAAUAGAGAAAGCCAGCACACAGCAACGAAGACCCAGCAGAGCCAAAAGGUUUAAAAAUGAAUAAACAAAUAAAUAAA